rnacentral:lncRNA from 1 species
GCAUAUGGAGGUUCCCAGGCCAGGGGUCCAAUCGGAGCUGCAGCCACCGGCCUCCGCCAGAGCCACAGCAACACAGGAUCCAAGCCACGUCUGCAACCUACACCACAGUUCAUGGCAAUGCCGGAUCCUUAACCCACUGAGCAAGGGCAGGGACCGAACCCGCAACCUCAUGGUUCCUAGUCGGAUUCGUUAACCAAUGAGCCACAACAGGAACUCCUAAAUAACAAUUUUAAAUUUCUUUAAUAACAACUCUGAAGCACUCUGGUAUCUUAUGUGACUUCGGUUUUGGUUUGUUUUAGUGGGAUAGGGUGGGCGGAAUUUGUUUCAGAUAGCUUUGGUAUUGUGUAUUCUCCUGCAUUCUUAUAUUCUAAAACUCGGGUAAUUCUUUAAACUAUAAUCUUUUAGUAACAAAACCUCUACUCCCAAUGUUUGCCGCAAAGUUUUAUUCUGAAUAAAAAUCGUCCAAUUUGAUAGAAUAGUUAACCUCUGACACACCUGAAACCAAUAUAGAAGGUCUCUUAAAAAGUAAUGCGGUUUUUAAAAAGUUUUAAACAGUCCAGUUUUUUUUAAUCCAGUUCUUAAAAUCACAAAACAGUUAUAAGUAUUCCUUUGAAAUCUAAUAUUUGAUCUCAACAUUUAAGUGAAAUAGCAAAAAAAAAAAAAAAAAAAAAAAAAAAAAACCAUUGAGAGGCUCUGAAAUAACAGCCCCCAGGAUAUGCAAAACGAUAGUGGAAAUAAGUCUGUGUGUCGUCUCCCCCAUUUUAUGCAUGAGGAAAGUUAGCUCAAGGACAUUGGAGUUUAUGGCAGAGUAAGAGCCCAAGACUCAGCAGAGCUGCCCAAUUUAAGCUCCUUGUGUGUACGCAACAUGCAACCUGAUUUUAUCUCUGCAGAGCCCAGAGUUCUGGGCAGAAAAGAGACGCAGGGGAAGGGGGGGGGGGGGGGGGCNAAGUGUCCCCGUAUGGGCAGUGAAAGAGGACAAUAGAAAAGAUUUCUGUGGCCCUUACCUCUUCCUCUUGUAAAACUGUCUUGCUUUGGCUUGCCCUGCUAUAAGGUAAAGUCAUACCAUGACACGUGGGCUCAGCACCUACUAUGACUGAACAGUUAGAGUGCAAUGUCACAGUUCUAGGUGGCUGACCCCAGCCAUGUCACAAUCUGAGCACAGGCCCACAUUCUGAGAACUUCCUCCUGGGCAGCUUCUGCCCUUCUUCUUUCAGAGUAUCACCGCUCCAAGCAGCAAGGCCCCACUCCACUCACCUAGGCAUGAGGACCAAAGGCAGAAACACCACCUGUGACUCCAACCUGUGCCUUCUCACAUGGAGAGCAGGUAAUUUCUCUCUGCCUAUCGUCCUCCGAGUGUCUUAUUAGAGGAACCAAAAAAAAAAAAAAAAUUCUCUUUCACAUGUGUUAGAAAGUCUAAUAUUGUGUCAAACAGAAAUGAAAAAUAAACCUAAUCUAAGCUGUCAUAGAAUCAUGAGAUGCCUCUGGCAGUUCUAUCAAAGUAUGGAGACACGCAGGGACUCUUUGAAGAAAUGAAACUGCAGUUUAUCAAGUGUGAUUUAUAAGCAACACUGAUGUAGCUGGUAGAUAACACUGCUGUCUAAUCAUUAGUAGUCAGACAACAGCCAUGUGAACACAUCAAUUAUGGGCCACUGCCAAGAGCCCUUGAGAUCUUGGAGAUUAACAGCCAAUCCUCUGUUUUACAAGCUCACAUCAAAAAGAAUAUUAAUAAGAGGAGGGGCGAUGUGAAAGCUUGUCAGAGUAAUUCCGCCACUAAAACAAGGCAUUUUCCCCCCACUCUCCUCUCUGUUGAAUUGGCCCAAGGAGGAAGCUGACAUCAGCUACAAAGUGCAAUGCUGCCAAUUUCUUGGGAAAUGUUUUUCACUAACAUAUGGGAACUUGUAAGGGUCUGCAAAACUGCUAUUUGGUGAAGAAAGGCAGGCAAGCCUUCUUCAUGUCCCUUUUUUAAAUGCUGGAAUGAAACAAAUGGAGGCAUGAUUGCAUUAGUGAAUUAUUUUGAAUUAAUAUGCAUGAGAGAAGUAUCCGACCUCGCAAUCAGAAAUUUUGUAAAACCUCACGCUGUUCUUCCACUUCCCCCAGCCACCAACAUUCAAUUAACUAACAGAAACUUUUGGUACUAACCUACACCUGAAUAAGCUUCUUCCAAUCAACAUGGUUCUCUCCAAUGCAGAACAAAAAAUCAAAAUGUGCAGUCUCUAAUUUUAAGUACUGAAAUUCCUUCUUUCCAACUAUCUCAGGAAGACAGGUAUAAAACCCAAUGAUAUUUCUGCAGUUAGAAUUAAGGUGGCUCUCAUAACCGCCCCCCCACACACACACACACAGCCACAGGCACAGCAUUAAUCUCAGGUCUAUCAGUUUUUAAUAUACACACCAGCAAGGACUGCUAUAUUUUUGUAAAUAAUCAGGUUAAACCAAGUAGCUGGCAACAAAGGGUCUAGUGGGGUUCCAGCAGGCUCCCUAAUACAUGAACAUAAGCCACACUACAAAACCCAUGGCCUGGGUUUCCCCUGCCACCAGGAGAUGUUUGCAUUUUUAUUUGAAGAGCACUCUAUAUUUACAGAGCGCUUUCCUAAAAUUUCAUUCGCUGCUCAUCAUUUCAAAAUCAGCAUGGGGAAAAAUCAUUAGGGGAGAAAGAAGAAGCAUGGGGUCCUGUCGCUUCUCAGUAGUCAAGCUGUUUGGCUCCUAACUAAGUCACUUACUUCCAGGGCUUGCUGACAAGGAACUGUUACAUCAAAAGAUUCCUUACCUGGGGUUCCAAGACUGCGGAAUUUGAGAAACACUGUAAUUACAAAAGAAAAAGUUUAUAUGCUCAAUAAAAACAUGGCUUAAAAGUGCCCGCUGUGGUGCAGUGGGUUAUGGAUCUGCCAUUGUCUCUGCAGUGGCUUGGGUCGCUGCUCAGGCAUGGGUUUGAUUCCCAGCCAGGCACUGCCACUGCUAUGGCAUAGGUCUCAGCUUCGGCUUAGAUUUAAUCCCUGGCCUGGGAACCUCCACAUGCUGCAGGUGCAGCCAAAAAUAAAAAAACAGAGUAGAGUGGACUAGAGUUAACUUAAGAAGCAUAGGCCUACCUAUUAGUAAAGUCGAGGGCAAGAGCCAUGCUUCUUUUUCAUUACAGUGCGUCCUUAAUACACACUGACUCAAGUAAAGGCACUGCAGUCACUCUGAACCCCGGUUUUUUCAUCCGUAAAACCAGAGCAAUAACACGUUCUCUUCUCUGAUGAUCUUUGAAGGCUGUCAUAAGAACCUACAGGAUAUGGCUUUAGAAGUAUGUAAACAUAACUUAAGGUGUUGAUGAAUUCAACAAGCACUUCUUGAGCAGCUAGAUGCUACGCACUGUACAAAGUACUAAUGAUUACCAGCUGCAUUUUUUUUUUUUUCUUUUCCAGAGCCAUACCGACAUAUAUGGAAGUUCCCUGGCUAGGGGUCAAAUCCGAGCUGAAGCUACUGGCUUACAACACAGCCACCGCAGUGCCAGAUCUGAGCCAUGUCUGUGACCCACACCACAGCUCAAGGCAAAGCCAGAUCCUUAACCCAGUGAGGAGGGCCAGGGAUCGACCCUGCAUCCUCCUAGAUCCUAGUCAGGUUCAUUAGCUAAGCCAUAGCAGGAACUCCUUGACUGCAUUUUUGACAUUAGAAAGAAACUAGCCUUCUGAAACCACAGCCAUGCCCUGGCCACCCAACAUUGAGAGAGGAGGAAAAGACUUUCGCAAUAAACUGAGAGUUUCAGUUCAUUAAAUGUCUACUGGCAAGUGUAUUUUUGGAAAAAUAUAUUUUAAUAACAUGUUGGGUUUAAUGGGCAACUUCAAGGUAAAAAAAUCAAACCACUAUUCUAUUUAACAACAGUUAUGACUAUGAAUGACAUGUGAUUAUAAUCAACGAUGAUACACCAAAGCUGUCAGAAUGGGCUGUGCUCCAAGUUUGUAGACAAAUUUCACCAAAGAUAAAGGGGCCAAAUUCAUUCCUAAGAUCUUAUUACACUCCAGACUCCUGAACUGGCUCCCCUCCCCCCCAUCAAAUUAUAUUAUUAACUCCACUUAACAAUUUUCCCAAGGUCACGCCUAAGCUGUAAGUUAUAAUAGACACUUCCCUCUCAGUUGAAUAAUGACUCUUUUUUUAGGAGUAGCCUUCCAUUUUAGCCCCAAGGGUUUUGCGGGUGACAAAGAAAUCAUCAGACAAAAAUCUGCCAGCAAACAGGAUGCCACUGCAAUCUGUUAUUCUGACACAGCAUAACCCUUCUGGGUAAAGCAUCUUUAUCUUUAUUCUUUAAAAUUCAACAGACACGCUCUACCAGAUCCAGGCAAAGCAGGUGCGAUAUAACCGAUGACAAACAGAUGAUGGUGCUUUAAAGAAUUAAAAAUGCCACAUAAAUGCAAGAUAUACCAACUUCCAGAUAAUCCCCAGCAACGUUUUCAUCUGUGAUCUCUACAGGGAAGGAAGAUACAAGACGUAUACCCAGAUUGUCCUCUCUCUGCAAUGAUACUAAGAGAGAAGCCAGUUCAGCAAAUAGUUAUCAAGCAUUUGCUGGAAUCAGCAUCAUGCUAAGUGCUGAAGGGAGCAAAGUAAGAAGGCAUCAGUGCCCUCCACGGUGUCAGGCUGGCAGGAGAAGCAGGGAGGUGCAAGUCAAAUACACUUGUCUCCAGGGCAAAAACUACAAGUGCGGGGAAUUACACCUCAUUUUGGAACUAAAAGGACACUCGGAGUCCAAGAAGAAACCUUGCCCAAGGUCACAAAAGAAGUCACAGCCAAAGCAUCAAGUGGGACCCAGUCUCUCAAUCCCCAGUUCAGAGCUUGGCCCCUGGAUCACCUCCCAGGCAGGCACCAGAGGAAAGGGCCUGCCACGCAUAGGCAACAGUCGAUAUGAAGGCCACACGGGGGCCAGAGUCAGCAGGGCUCAUGGGCUAAGCCCUGCUGAUCAAGAGGGCCCUUGAGCAAACUGGCAAUUUCCUGAAGCCCAGUGGACCUGGAGAGAUGACCUCCCCAGAUCAGCUCUACGACAGUAAUACUAAAACUGCAUGCUUUGUGCACUCCCCAAACAUCUCCUCCAGCCUCCGCUGCUGCAAUUAACUACAUGCAACCGCUAAGGCAAAUGGCUAACUAAGCAAAACCGUGGCCCAACUUUACUGCUUAGGCAUCAUUGUACAUGGAUGCCUUUGCUCUAGGAGUCUGAGAAACACUAGUGAGGGUAUUUACCAGCUCUAAAUAGUCCUAAGGCUGGAGCUGCAAAUCAUUAGUCCUUCUUGCUCUACCUCCCAUUUGAGCAAGUACACUAAUUAACCACCUGUUAAGACACGUGAUGAUGCCUUCUUUAGAGCAAUAGGAGGGGUGGGAGUUUGGAGGUAGUAGGUACAAACUAUCACAUUUCAAAUGGAUAAACAAUAAGGUCUUACUGUAUAGCACAGGGAACUAUAUCCAAUCCCCUGGAACAGAGCACGAUGGAAAAUAAUAUUUCAAAAAGAAUGUAUAUAUAUGUAUGACUGAGUCACUCUGCUGUACAGCAGAAAUUGGCACAACACUGUAAAUCAAUUAUACUUUAAUAAAAAAUAAAUAAAUAGUAAAGCAACACUGUGGUGAUUUUUCUGUAAGAGGCCUUAAAACAACAGCAACAACAAAAAAUUCUAAUACCCAUUCCUUUGGGGGAGAAGACAUGUCUAAAGGAGCUAGCUGAAGCUUUUAUUUAAUCACCCAGAGAAGCCCCCCCAAGGGGGUAGGAAAGCUGGGACUGGGUAUUUGGGGAAAGGAAAAAUAAGUAAGUACUCUUCAGAUGACUUAGAAGUACAGCUCUGAUUAGGAAACAAUGCUUUCAAUUCAAGGGUUCAAGGAUUUGGAUACUAGGUCAAAUAUUAUUUAUGUUGCCAUUGAACCUCUAAAGUCAGUGAGAUGAAAAUCAUGUUUACCUUUGAGUUGAAAACUAUAAAGAUUGCCAACUACCAUCAAAACAGCACAAGAAAAAAUAUUUUUAAAAGAAUCCUGGAGAAUUGUCUUUCUACACUAGUUCAAAACCCAAAAGCCAUGAAAGGAAUAAUAAACUUCACUAUACAAUUUGAGAUAUUUAUACAGGGGAAAAAAAAAACCUAGAAUAAACAGAAUCAAAAGACAAAUGAAGAGAUGAGUGAAAAAACUGCAAGCACAUGAAAAAAAAAAUCUGUAAAACAUGAAAACAAGUAUAGUUAAGCAAUACACACUGAAAUACUUUAAAAAUCACUAAGAAAUGACCAACAACUCACUAGAAAAUUAGUCAGAGGUUAUAAACUAUCAUAUAUAGGCGAUACAAUGGCCUAUAAAAAGGAAAAGGGCCAAUUUUUAAAAUGGAUUACUAUCUGAUUAUCACAGAUUAAAGCCAAAAACUUAAACUUCACAGUAUUCCACUGCAGAAAUACAGGCAAUUUGGAAUUCCCAUUGUGGCUCAGCAGAAAUGAAUCCGACUAGCAACCACAAGGACACAGGCUCCAUCCCUGGCCUCGCUCAGGGGGUUAAGGAUCCAGCAUUGCCCUGGUGUAGGUCGAAGAUGCAGCUCGGAUCUGGCAAUGCUGUGGCUGUGGUGUAGGUGGGCAGCUGCAGCUCCGAUUCAACCCCUAGCCUGGGAGCCUCCAGACGCCUCAGUGCGGCUCUAAAAAGGCCAAAAAGAGAGAAAGAGAGGGAGGGAGGGAGGGAGGAGGGAGAAAGAAGAGAAGAGAAAAAAAGAAAAAAGGAAGGAAGAAAGAAAGAAAGAGAAAAGGAAAGGAAAAGAGGGAGACAGGGAGGGAAGAAGGAAGAAAGGAAGGAAUACAGGCAUUUAUUCCAUGUUCCAGCAUUGAUGGGAAUGCAACUGACAGAAUCAACUCAGGGGCCAAUUAUGAAAUGUAUUCCAAAUGACAUUGACCGGAGCAUUUUCUAACUGAAAAAGACUAGGAAACACCUAAACGCUAUUAGCAGAGGACCCGUUAAAUAAAUUAUGGAAUCAAAGGUAAAAAGAGGAACAUAAGAUAUCUAAGACAUAAGAGUAAUGUGAAAAGAGCAAGGUGCAGAUCUGUUCCUUUAAUAUGCUCUGAUCUGUAUACGGAGACAGAUAUAUAAAUAUACAUGCUUGAACAU